CCAAACUCUUGAGGCUAGGAAAAUGGUGGGAGGUUUUGGAGAAUCAUGCUGGAGGCCGUGCAUCAGAACUCUGGCAAUGGGAAAAUGGCUCCCAAUUAUGUCGGUGGUGGGAAGAAGUUUUACUUUGGUGGGCAGGCACGUGCCCGACCCACUCGAGUGCAAAAUGACACGGGUUGACAUCAGGCAAGCAUCCCGACAUCAAUGUGCAGUCACUCAAUAUUUCGGUUGGUGGACGUCUGCGAGAAUCGACAACGCGCCUGCUGACAAUUAAGAGGCCUGUUAAGGCCACCAACAAGAGUCUUCUACACUGAAGCUGUGGAGCUGCAGCAUUCCACACGAAUCAGGAAAUCACCUGAAAGACUGAACUUGUAAAUUUCAUGACCUGUGUAAAUAUAAUGUCAUGAGAUAAAUAUACUUGUAAAUACAAUAUGUACAGCAAAG